CCUGGGGCCGUAUUCUGUAGCGGUUCCUUUGGGAACCGGUUCCUUUGGGCUGUUGCCAUUGGUCGGCGUUUCGUUGUCGUCAUCCCUGGUGGGCGGGACGACAAAUUUUGAUGACGUCACACAGGUUGCCAAUCUUCUGGAAAGGAACCGGUUCCCUGCUAGGAGAGGAACCGCGGAGAAGUGGUUCUCUCGAGGGUCGCGCGCGGGGGCGAGCAUGAUGUCGAGGGUUGCUAGGGCAACCGUGGCUGCCGGCUAACCUCGCGCCAGCUGACGAGCCGGCACCUAGACGAGACGAGACAGAGACGGCAAUGGCGGCUCCUUUGGUUGUGUUGCUGGGGAGUGCCGAAAGACAACGACGCGACGAGAGGCAACGACGCGACGCGUUCGGCAUGGCCGAAGAAGAGUUUCGAAGGCAUUUUAGGCUCUCCAAAGACAUAGUGUGACGUCUUUGCGAUGAGCUGGAAGGACAUCUCGGACCUCAAAGAUUUCGUGGUGUCGACAUUACGAUGAAAGUGCUGUGCGCGCUGCGGUUUUUUGCCACCGGGAGCUUUCAACAGUGCGUCGGGAAUGAAGAAGCGAUUGCACUGUCGCAGCCUUCGAUCAGCCGGAUCAUUACAGCCGUCGCCAAGGCCAUUACGGUUGUGGGCAAAGAAAAAGGAUGGGUUAGAUUCCCAUCCACGGCGCAACAGAAAGCCGCCGUCAAGGAAGGCUUUCUUAGCCGUGGAAAAAUUCCAGGAGUUCUAGGAUGUGUGGACGGGAGUCUGAUAGCCAUCGUUCGCCCUAAGAAGCUCGGCCCCGGCGAAACGGAAUCGUACUGGAGCCGUAAAGGGUAUUACGCCCUCAACUGCAUGGUCGUGUGUGAUGCAAAGCUGAAUAUCCUGGCAAUUGACCCACGGUUUCCGGGAUAGUGCCACGAUUAUUUCGUUUGGAGGCAUUCUGCAUUUCGCCGCCGCCUCACUCGUGGCCUGUUACUUCAUGGAGAAGUCUUGCUUGGGGACUCUGGGUACCCGCUAGAGCCAUGGAUCAUGACUCCUGUGCCUGGUCACCCAAAUCGCCUCACGGCAGAGGGGCGCUAUAAUGAGG